UGCCAGCAGCCGCGGUAAUACGAAAGGGGCUAGCGUUGUUCGGAAUUAUUGGGUUUAAAGGGUGCGUAGGCGGACUUUUAAGUCAGUGGUGAAAUCCCGGGGCUCAACUCCGGAACUGCCAUUGAUACUGAAAGUCUUGAGUACAGUUGAAGUAGGCGGAAUGUGUAAUGUAGCGGUGAAAUGCUUAGAUAUUACACAGAACACCGAUUGCGAAGGCAGCUUGCUAAACUAUGAUUGACGCUGAUGCACGAAAGCGUGGGGAGCAAACAGGAUUAGAUA
rnacentral:rRNA from 1 species